rnacentral:rRNA from 1 species
AAAUUGAAGAGUUUGAUCAUGGCUCAGAUUGAACGCUGGCGGCAGGCCUAACACAUGCAAGUCGAACGGUAACAGGAAGCAGCUUGCUGCUUCGCUGACGAGUGGCGGACGGGUGAGUAAUGUCUGGGAAACUGCCUGAUGGAGGGGGAUAACUACUGGAAACGGUGGCUAAUACCGCAUAACGUCGCAAGACCAAAGAGGGGGACCUUCGGGCCUCUUGCCAUCAGAUGUGCCCAGAUGGGAUUAGCUWGUUGGUGAGGUAACGGCUCACCAAGGCGACGAUCCCUAGCUGGUCUGAGAGGAUGACCAGCCACACUGGAACUGAGACACGGUCCAGACUCCUACGGGAGGCAGCAGUGGGGAAUAUUGCACAAUGGGCGCAAGCCUGAUGCAGCCAUGCCGCGUGUAUGAAGAAGGCCUUCGGGUUGUAAAGUACUUUCAGCGGGGAGGAAGGUGUUGCGGUUAAUAACCGCAGCAAUUGACGUUACCCGCAGAAGAA